rnacentral:rRNA from 1 species
UACGGAGGAUCCAAGCGUUAUCCGGAUUCAUUGGGUUUAAAGGGUGCGUAGGCGGAAUGAUAAGUCAGUGGUGAAAUCCUGCAGCUUAACUGCAGAACUGCCAUUGAUACUGUCAAUCUUGAGUAUAUUUGAUGUGGGCGGAAUGUGUCAUGUAGCGGUGAAAUGCUUAGAUAUGACACAGAACACCGAUUGCGAAGGCAGCUCACAAAACUAUAACUGACGCUGAGGCACGAAAAGCGUGGGUAUCAAACAGG